GACAUAGUCCAACAUAAAAGCCCAGCCCAAGAAUUAGCCCCACAACAUGUGAUGAUGAUGGCCACCCGUUUGCAGUACCAUCCACAAAGCAUCUGCUCCAAAAAUAAGUCCCACAGCAUUCAUGGAGAAUUAUUUCCAGCCAGAUCCAGAGUGCGAGAAGGAAAACCACCCAGAAAGCGUGGUUCUCCUGAGUCCCUUGUGCCACAAAAAGCGCAUCACCCUUGUGUGCCUGGCCCAGGACUUCCCCUAUGAGUGGCCCCUGAAUGUGGCCUGGGCACGCGAUGGAGAGAACAUUACUGACCGACUCUUCUUUGCCACCGAGCCAGUCCAGAGACAAGGAAAAUGCCACUUUGCCAUCGCCAGUCGCCUGAGCAUACAGGCAAAGGAGUGGCAGGAAGGCCACAACUACUCCUGCCACAUCUACCAAGGCACGCUGGUAGAAAAGAGCGACUGGGUGAAGAGCGAGUCAGUCCAGAAGGGAGCUUCAAGCAUCUCUGAGGUUCAGCUCAGCCUUUUUGCAGCGCACUUCAUAUUCCUCCUAUUGGGGGCCAAAAGCCUGGCCUACAGUGCUGCUCUGGGCAUCUACACAGUCUAUAGAAAAAGAGGUCUCUAAUUGCAUUACCU